rnacentral:tRNA from 1 species
GGCUCUUUGGCGUUGUGGUAAAAGCUGCAGUUUGGCACCCCGUAGACCCAGGUUCGAGGCCAGGUGGGGUGA